rnacentral:lncRNA from 10 species
CAAAUCCUGCCUCAGGUUUAUUUGUACAAAUAGCACAGGAGGACCCCAGCCCCAUGCAGAUGGUAGCCCAGGGGCGGGGGUGGGGGGUCGCACCAGUCCUUCUGUCCUCAUGUUGGCAGAGAUAUCUACUCUGAAGCCUUUGUAGGGGCCUGGGUACGUUUGGGAGCCUGAGCUGGAACUGAAGCUGGGGCUGCAGCCUGGGCCUUGGUUUGACUGGUUGUGUGUGGUGUGGUUCUUGGACUUGGCCAUGUCUG